CUUAACCGGGCGUUAAGUUGCAGGGUAUAGACCCGAAACCCGGUGAUCUAGCCAUGGGCAGGUUGAAGGUUGGGUAACACUAACUGGAGGACCGAACCGACUAAUGUUGAAAAAUUAGCGGAUGACCUGUGGCUGGGGGUGAAAGGCCAAUCAAACCGGGAGAUAGCUGGUUCUCCCCGAAAGCUAUUUAGGUAGCGCCUCGUGAAUUCAUCUCCGGGGGUAGAGCACUGUUUCGGCUAGGGGGCCAUCCCGGCUUACCAACCCGAUGCAAACUGCGAAUACCGGAGAAUGUUAUCACGGGAGACACACGGCGGGUGCUAACGUCCGUCGUGAAGAGGGAAACAACCCAGACCGCCAGCUAAGGUCCCAAAGUCAUGGUUAAGUGGGAAACGAUGUGGGAAGGCCCAGACAGCCAGGAUGUUGGCUUAGAAGCAGCCAUCAUUUAAAGAAAGCGUAAUAGCUCACUGGUCGAGUCGGCCUGCGCGGAAGAUGUAACGGGGCUAAACCAUGCACCGAAGCUGCGGCAGCGAACGUAUCACCCAAGACAACUUUACGGAGUUGACGAUUGACGGAGCGAAGCGACGUCAAAGCGUAUACAAAGUCG
rnacentral:rRNA from 1 species